CUCAAUGAGUUACUUUCAGCUCUUCUUCUGGGUGGACAGCAUUUGAAGAAAACCAGAGAGAAGGCAUAUUUCUACAGUUUAAAAUGGGGCUGGACAUGAUGGGGUCGCCCCGGAGCUACUCAAUGCCAUUCUGCGGCAGGGCAGAAGGAUUAUUACCUGCCUGAACCUACAGAUGAGAGGAGUCCUGCUGCUCUGUGUCUGCGCUUGGCUCCAAGUGCGUGGAUGUGCUGGGAAUGGUGGUGUCCCGGGGGCGCCCCGCUGACACAGGUGGGGGAGACGCGGAGCCUCCUUCUGCACUCUGGCUGUGGUCACGCGCUGCCCGUGGGAGUGGUAAGGUAGGCACCGUCGCUUGGCCUCUCGACACAGGCUGCUUUGAGAUUAACGAUGAAAUGGGGUGAACCAAUGCAACGAAGAGCUGCUCCAGUCCUCGAUGGGAAAGCCCGGAAGGUGGGGGCUCUGCCGGAGCUGCUAUUCCUGCAUUUCCCCGUGUGGGUGUGGAGCACGGUGCACGCACACAUCUAUUGCCCUGGCAGGUUUUGUGUGUGUGUGUGUGUUUUUGGGGAGGAAUUUAAGCAAAUGUUGUGCCUGUCAUAAGCCAGGAAUCUAGAGGUGGAAGUGAAUUUAUGAACGUGUUCAUCAAUUCCGAUGACGUAAGGCAGGACAUGGCUGUUCUGGGUGAGCCACCGAGAGUGCUGAUGUCGACACCAGCAAGGCGUUAGUUUCCUGUCGCUGCCAUAACAAACACUGUGGCCCAGGAGGCUUAAACCACAGAAACUCACUGCCUCAUGGUCCUGGAGCCUCCAAGUGUGAAACCAAGCUGUUAGCCAGGUCGGUUCCUUCUGAGCUGAGAGGAAGAAUCUGUUCUAGGCUCGGUUCCUGGCUCUGGUGGCUCUGGCGCUCCUUGGCUUGCGGAUGGUCUCUCCCUGCAUCUUCGCGCUGCCUCUCUGCUGCACAGGCUUGACCUGAUGUCCAAGCUCUUGGCGAUGCCCCAAGGAGUUUGGGGGAUCCAGGAGUUGCCCUUGUCAUCAGACCAUGACAACACACAGACUGGUGACUCUUGAGUCAACCCAGCUUAGAGAGCUCCCCAAGCAAGAGCACAAGACAGGAGAAGAGGAUUUGAGCAGCGUGUGGGUGUUUCUCUUCCUAUUACGUAAUCCACACGUGUGUUCAAGGGGCAACUUCAGCAACGCUCCUGCCUCAAUGGGCUUGGCAAGCCUGUCCCAACACAGCAACUGGCCAUCCGGGGCAGAGAGCCGGAGGACGAAGCCUGCUAACACACAGAGUCGUUCUCUGGCCACUCUGAGGAUGGAGGAUAUGGCAUGUGUUUGAACAGUCUCCUAAUUAACCUUGAGAACAUGGUCACAGACACACACAAAUGAUUGGCACUGAAAGCACUUCUAAUGUGAAACAGGACGGGGCCAGUUAAACUGUCACGGCUGGCCUGUGUCCCACUAAAAGGAUAAGUUGAGGUUCCAAUCCCCAGUACUUCAGAAUGUGACGUUAUUUGGAAAUAGGGUCAUUGCAGAUGCAACUUGUUAAGAUGAGGUUCUACUGGAGUAGGGUAGUGUCCUCAUAAGAAGAAAAGAGACCCAGGGACAGAUCCACAAGGACAAGGACAGGUGACCACAGAGGCAGAGACUGGAGUGAUGUGUCCACAAGCCCAAGGGCACUAAGGACAACUGGCAACCCCCAGGUGCCAGGAAGAAGACAGGAAAGAUUUCCCCCAGAAUCAGAGGAAGCACGACCCCCCCCACACACACCUUAAUUUUGGACUUCUGGCCUCCAGAACUUAGAGAAUAAAUUUCUGCUGUUUAAAGCUGCCCUGUAUCGAACUUAGUUCCUGUAGCCCUAGGAAGCCAACAACUGCAACACUUUCACAACUGACUAUACUCACCCAUUAAAAAGUAACGCCCUGCAAAUGAUGCUUGGUGACAUAGGAAAAUGCUCAUGCUGCAGUAAAUUAAAAAAAAAAAAUUGAAUUGCAAACAGCAUGCACUGUAUAAUUGCAUUUUUGAAAAGCAAAAUAUGUACGUUUAUUCACAGGGAGAAAUGAUUGGGAAAACAUGCUGAAAUGUUAACCAGGAUGUUCUUGCUUAUAAUUAAGAUUGUGGGUGAUUUUCAUUUGCUUUUGCUUUAGCUUAGUUUGUUGAAGUAUGUCCAUGCACUGAACAUUGACGUACAAGAAAGAAUGCUGGAUUUCUUUUAGCAAAGGCAAAUGGCAAGAGCAAAACUAUGUGUACGGAUCUGGGAGGUAAAGUCCCGAAAGUGUGUGACCAGGAAGGGAGGCAGCAGGACCAGGGCUGGCUUCUCAGGCACAAGAGGAACAGAAGAACCAUCAACCACCUGGGAAGCCCAAAUGAUUCACUGUGUGAGAAAUGCAAAGGAGAUCGCUGAUUUCUGGUGAAAUGUGAGGGGCUGGAGCAGCCGAGGUUCAUGAAUGAGGCCACACGGGACUCAGUCAUGUGGACGCUGAGGUCUGUCCCCUCCGAGUGUGAGCCACAGCCGCUGCCUGUGAGUGACUCACCUGUUGGCGCCUCAGCUUCUCUUUCCGUGAAGUGGAAGUGGCAUACUCAGGUUGCUGCGAAACGCUGAUACAUACGCAAGAGUUCAUCAAAACAACAACAACAACAAAACCCAGAUGGAAAUAAAAAAUCGUCAGUAUUUACAUCUGGAUGAGAUUGCAAGAUGCCCUUAAAUGCACGUAUAAAUGAGGCGGCAGCUCAUGGUCCAGUCUCAGCGGUCCUCCAGGUUGGUUAAUUUCUGUGCAUACGGUAACAGCUUCUUGCAUGUGCCUGUACGUUGAGUAGUCUACAAUUUGCCAGCGUUACCACUUCUCCUGGCCAGGGUCACCUGCCUGAACUCCUGUGCAGACAGUGAGAGUCCUGCUGCCGGGAAGUGUGGCGAGGUGAGCGUUCAGAGGAGACCCGAGCUCUGUCACCAGCCUUAGGUUAGGGAAUCUGAAAGGCUAUUACAGUUAAAUGACAAAUUUCAAUUCUAAUUUUGCCUAUUGGCUCAAAUGUUUCUGUGCCUCUGUUUCCCUACCUGUCUGGUAGGGGCAUUGUGAUCUCUAUCCUCACCUCAUGGCGUACACCCAAAAUGCAAAGACAGUACCUCCCUGCACUCUGCCCUUAGGGAGCAAGCACUGAUGGCUUGUAGCAGGCGUUUUGUAUCAAUUACCUCGUAAUUAGCUCUUUCACCGAGGGCCGACUUCUCCAAAUGUCUUGAGUGGCACAUCUCAGAUUUUAGAAACAUCAAAGGAAGCUUUCCCAGUGGAUCCGGGAGGCACAGUGUCCCAAAUCCACAGAGCUGCAGGCCAGCCAGAGGGACCCAUGGGCAAUGGCAUCCGGAAAGGGCAGCUUAGCUCAUCCCCAGAAAGGGCUGUGAGACAUGACACAUAAUUCUUCUUGAAUAAAAGUUUUGCUUUCUGAGUCUUGCCGAGAUACCACUUUGAAAUAAAAGUGAUGUGUCUGAAACUCAGCAGUCAUCUGACACCUCCUU